CCCCUUCGACGCUCUGCGGUGACAGUCCACUUCCGGGGCGCCGGGGAUUGCUUUGGUCGGCCGCAGCGGCUCUCUAUGGUGCGGAGCCCCUCGGAGAGGGAAAUUGGGGUAGCGAGGCUGGGCUUGGAGAAUGGAGAUGUUCUAAUCAUGUCUGAAAAUGAUGGUGUCAAGAAUAUGGCAACAGUAGAAGAAAUUCCCAGUUUGGAAAGUGGAGACAGUGAGCCAAACAAGCAACUUCAUUCUGCUGACCUGAGUGCCAAGCAAGAAUCUGAAUCAGAGCCUGUUGCUCCUACUCGUAAAAGACCUGAAACAAAACCUCCCAGUGAGCCUGUGACUUCAGAAGUUUUCCCUGAUGAAGGCCUGAAGUCUGUAGGCAAGGAUCCUGUUUCUAAAGAAGUACCCCAAACAGGAUGGGGAUACUGGGGAAACUGGGGCAAGUCAUUGCUUUCUUCCGCUUCAGCUACUGUAGCCACUGUAGGACAAGGCAUUUCAAAUGUCAUUGAGAAAGCAGAGACUUCCCUUGGCAUCCCUAAUCCCACUGAAAUUUCAUCUGAAGCUCAAAACACAGGAGAGAUUAAUGUCAAAGAGGAUGGAAAUACCUCACCAAUGGGUGCAGCACUUGGUGUAUUCUCAACUAUUUCUACAGCAGUUCAGAGUACGGGAAAGAGCGUUAUUAGUGGAGGUUUAGAUGCUUUGGAAUUCAUUGGGAAAAAGACAAUGGAUGUAAUAGCUGAAGGUGAUCCUGGAUUUAAAAAAACCAAGGGCCUAAUGAACCGAAAUUCUACAUUGUCUCAGGUUUUGCGAGAGGCAAAAGAUAAGGAAGAGCUGAGGACAGCCAAUGAGGUUACUAUGGAUACUGACAAGAAAGCUCAUUACGGAUUAUUCUUUGAUGAAUUUCAAGGCCUUUCACAUCUAGAAGCUUUGGAGAUGCUUUCUCGAGAGAGUGAAAUAAAGGCGAAAUCCCUCACUAACUCUCUGUCUGGUGAAGAAUUAGAGAAUAUAAAACUUGAAUUGGAGCAACUCAAAGAAGCUUUUUCAUUAGCUGAGUUCAGUGAUGAAGAGGAAGAUGAAAAAAAGGAAGAUGAAGAUUUCACUACAGAGAUAACAGAGCUGUUUUCCCAGCUUCAUGUUUCUACCAGACCUGACAAACUGACCAAAGCAAGAAAUACUGUUCAUGAGUGGAUCAGCAUGUCUAGUUCCAAACCUUUAACAGAAGAAGAAGAAGAAGAAGAAGAAGAAGAAGAAGAAGAAAAAGAAGAAGAAGAAAGAAAACAGGUAGAGUUGGAGAAUUCAGAGCAAGAAGAUAAAAAAACAAUAGAGGAUAUCCAUGCAUUUGCCAUCCAAAGCCUGGCAGAACUGACAGCCUACUCCAUUGAAAUGUUCCAUAAAACAGCAGCAUUGAUUCUACAUGGUCAAAAACAGGAGAUAACUGCUUUAAAGAGAAGCAAAACACUUUCCCAAAUGACAGUUUUGUUGUGUAAAGAAUUGUCUUCGAUGUCUAAGGAGUUCGCCACAUGCCUGACAACUGUUGGGGUCAAAGAAAAAGCAGAUGUACUUAAUCCACUAAUAACUGGCGUGUUUCUAGAGGCAUCUAACAGUGCUUCAUAUAUCCAGGAUGCCUUUCAAUUACUUCUUCCGGUGCUUGAAAUCUCCCUCAUUGAGAGCCAGAUUGAAUCAUCACAGUCACAAUGAGCUCCAUACUAGUGGAAGAGAGGGGAUUCCUUAUUUACAGAAGCAAAUAUGAAGACAUGUUUAAGGACAAUAAGUUUUGAUCUUGAGCUUCCAGCAAUGGCUAAAAAGUGCCAGACCACUUCUGGGCCUUAUAGUCUGAUGUUGCAGAAGCAAGAGAGAGGCUAAUGGGGAAUUUCUGUAGUCUAGAAAAUCAGGCAGUCUAGCAGGUUAAAAGAGUAAAGUUUUUGCCUUCAUUGUUUGACUAAGACUGUUUGGUUCCUCUUUCCACUACAGCAGAUAGUUAUGUGCAUUAAUAAAUUCUUUGAAAGAAGACUUUUGGAGAAGAUCCAAGAUGAAAACUUUUGUAAAAAGAUCGUAAAAGAAGAGGAAACUGCUCUUGGCAUGUCAUCUUUGCAAGUCAAUGUUCAAAAUAUCAGUGCACAGAAGGAAGUUUUUGACUAACUUCUUUUGGCUCCUGAAGAUAUGGCAAGAAUUAUAGUUCCUGUUUUCCAAAUAGGAAACUGAAAGGAUGAGGACCCAGCUUACUUAAACAGAACUGGAGGAGGUCUGGAGGGGACAGUAUAAAGGGACAAAACAAGCAUUGAGGAAACAUUUGCCAUCUGGCUGUGAAGGCAGCAACUCAUCCCUCUACUUCUCAGCAAACUCCAGAAUCAACCAUCUGCUUGAACUGUCUUGAAGCUUAUAGGUCCCUGUUAGUAGACAACAGGAAUCUCAAGCAAGAUGGCAUCUGUUUUGAAAUGGUUUGGCAAAGACGAUGACAAGCACAAGGAAAAAGAGCAGGAGAAAGAGAAGAUGAAGGCAAAAAGUAAGAAGGAUGAUCUAGAGGAGCAGAAGCAACACCUUAAAAUAAUGGAGGACCCUGGGAGUGAGAGUGACAGCAGCCGCAGCAGCAGGAACAGCGAUGGGGAGACAGAGCAGGUUGAAGAGAGUAAAAGGGCAAUUACAAAGAAAAAGAAGAAGAGCUCCGGUUAGCUAGGGGACCUGGUUGACUGUCAUGGAGGAAAAAAUAAAAGUUAC